ensembl:ncRNA mir-2535b mir-2535b stem loop
GUAAGUGACUAUGCCGGGAUUGUGGUUAUUGAACUUAGCGUCUCCACUCACGGCAUUUCAUUCACUUGCAG